UUAUAAGAAAAUCAAAUUUUCAAGUUCCUUUUCCACUCGAAUUAAUUAAAUGGUUCUUAUUUUAUCCUAAUUAACUUUCCAAAACAUACGUACAUCUUCAUACACAUAACGUAUACAUACACAAAUCUAUAUGCAAGACUAUAUACAUAUAUGAUAGUGUCUAAUUUCAAUGUAUGACAAUUUUCAGGUAUAUGAGUAGUGGACAAGAAAGGAAGAAGGCAUCUCAAACGGCAAGAAGUAUCAGCAUGACACAAAAGAUAUUAUUCAGAAUGCUCAUAUGGAAAUGAUCUGUUAAAAGUACCCACAAUUUUUUCUACAUAUUUUACUACACGAAAUGUGAGCUUUUCAAGAUUUCAAAGAUUCAUUGUAUUGUUUAAUUAUUGCGUAAUUCUACAAUCUUUAA
rnacentral:lncRNA from 1 species